GCCCCGUCCGACGGAUUUGCGGCGCUGGGUCUACGAAACCCGGUUGUGAAGGUUCGAUUCCUUCACGGGGCAC
rnacentral:tRNA from 1 species